AGUGGCGGACGGGUGAGUAACGCGUGAGAAUCUGCCUCUUGGUUGGGGACAACAGUUGGAAACGACUGCUAAUACCCAAUGUGCCGCAAGGUGAAAGAUUUAUUGCCAAGAGAGGAGCUCGCGUCUGAUUAGCUAGUUGGUGGGGUAAAAGCCUACCAAAGCAUCGAUCAGUAGCUGGUCUGAGAGGAUGAGCAGCCACACUGGGACUGAGACACGGCCCAGACUCCUACGGGAGGCAGCAGUGGGGAAUUUUCCGCAAUGGGCGAAAGCCUGACGGAGCAAUACCGCGUGAGGGAGGAAGGCUCUUGGGUUGUAAACCUCUUUUCUCAGGGAAGAAGAUCUGACGGUACCUGAGGAAUAAGCAUCGGCUAACUCCGUGCCAGCAGCCGCGGUAAUACGGAGGAUGCAAGCGUUAUCCGGAAUUAUUGGGCGUGAAGCGUCCGCAGGUGGUUACUCAAGUCUGCUGUCAAAGACCAGAGCUUAACUCUGGAAAGGCGGUGGAAACUGAGGAACUAGAGUCCGGUAGGGGUAGCGGGAAUUCCCAGUGUAGCGGUGAAAUGCGUAGAUAUUGGGAAGAACAUCGGUGGCGAAGGCGCGCUACUGGGCCGGAACUGACACUCAGGGACGAAAGCUAGGGUAGCGAAAGGGAUUAGAUACCCC
rnacentral:rRNA from 1 species